ensembl:lncRNA
AGAACGGCUGCAGAGAACAACAGAUAUGGACGAGUGGAUUUCUUUAUUAUGCCGCUGAACAUUUGCAGAGACCCUUCAUCCUGCUCGACCACCUGUUACUUCCACCCUGUUUCAAUCACUCCGGCAGACGCUCAGCUGCAGCUAUCGAACUGCAUAUCGCUCAUCAAUAACCCCCCACAGAAGGGAAGAUAUGAAAGCUGGGAGCGCUUAAGAAGGAGCACACGGUAAACCCACCUUUCAUGAGGAGGCUGAGAUCGCUUUUGAUGGCUCUCUGAGAUGCCUCAGUCGAGUCGCAUCAAGAGCCAUUUUAGCACAAAGGAACAAAAGCCGCAGCG